rnacentral:rRNA from 1 species
CACCAGGUUGAUCCUGCCUGACGUGGAUGCUAGUCUCAUAGGUUAAGCCAUGCAUGUGUAAGCGAAGCAUUUUUGUGGAGCGGCGUAAGGCUCAGUAACGGGCGUCUAUUUGAUCUCCUGAUGCGGACAACCUCUGUAACCGGAGGCUAAUACGCGUGAGGCACGGUUUCCGUCGGGUGUCGUGUCGAUAGCUAUUUGUUGUAAUAGCGCGGGAGAGUAAGGAGCCAUCCCAUCAGUUAGUAAGUAGGGUAAGGGCCUACUUAGAUGAAGACGGGUACGGGGAAUUAGGGUUCUAUUCCGGAGAGGGAGCCUGAGAGACGGCUACCAGGUCCAAGGACAGCAGCAGGCGCGAAAAUUACCGAAGCCUCCGGUGAGGGCGGUAGUAAGGAGACGUGAAUACGAUGCACAGGUAAAUAGUGUGCUAGUAACAGGAGGUCAAGACUGGUGCCAGCAUCCGCGGUAAUACCAGCUCCUGGAGUGUCUAUGAUGAUUGCUGCAGUUAAAGUGUUCGUAGUCGGGCUGCAUGACUGGCGUGAAAGACCUUCUUUCAAGGGGGGUACAGCGCGGGGAAAGCAGAGGAUAAGGAGCGUUUUGGGGCCAGGUUAUUAAGCGACGAGAGGUGAAAUUUGAUGACUCGCUUAGGAGCAACAGAGGCGAAAGCGCUGGCCAGGGGCGAAUCCGAUGAUAAAGGACGUAGGCUAGAGGAUCGAAGACGAUUAGAGACCGUUGUAGUUCUAGCAGUAAACGAUGCCGAUGCCGUGGUGCGAUUUGAGUUCGCGACGCGGAAGAGAAAUUCAGUAGGGCCCUGGGGAGAGUACACGCGCAAGCGAGAAAUUUAAAGGAAAUUGACGGAAGAACACCACAAGGAGUGGAGUGUGCGGCUUAAUUCAACUCAACGUGGGACAGCUUACCAGGCCCGACGACCGCACGAGUGUUGUACACGAUAGGUUGGAGAGUGGUGCAUGGCCGUUAACGACAAGUGGGGUGACCUUUGGGUUAAGUCCGGGAAGUAGUGAGACCCCUGCUGUUACGGCAAGCCGUGACAGGACAGGUGCUUAAAGCACAGGAAGGAAGGGUCAAGAACAGGUCAGUGAUGCCCUCAGAUGGUCUGGGCUGCACGCGCACUACAGUGGUCACAGAAAGGAUUAUUGAGAGAUAAUGGUGAUCGAGAGGGAAUGAGCUUUGCAAGAGGCUCAGGAACGAGGAAUUGCUAGUAAUCGCGGGCUCAUUAAGACGCGAUGAAUACGUCCCUGUUCUUUGUACACACCGCCCGUCGUUAUCGAAGAUGGAGUCAGGCGCGAACAAGCGAGAGCGAGUAAGUGCAGGAUUCUAGAUGUGAUACAAGUCGUAACAAGGUAACC